GGGAAGAGUGAAGGGGGCGGUGGUGGGGGAGAUGGAGUUAAACCAGGUAUGAGUGGUGGGAUAAACGGAGGGAAUAAUGAAGGUGGAGAACGUGGAGGUGAAGGGAUUAUUGGAGGAAAUAUUGAAGGUGGAGGUGAAGGGAAUAAGGGAGGAAAUAUGGAAGGAGGAGGAGAGGGGAUGACAGGAGGAAUAAUGGAAGGUGGAGGUAGAAAUGGGUUUGGAGGAAGGAUUGAAGGUGGUGGAAGAAGUGGAUUUGGAGGCAAGGGAAGUCCUCCUCCUAUUGGAUUGAAAAAAUUUGGCUUAGCUGCAGCUUCUGAUUGAGAGUAGUAUUUGCUAGAGUCUUUAGGCACUGGUGAUAUUGGAAGUCCUGGA
rnacentral:lncRNA from 1 species